rnacentral:tRNA from 1 species
AUCUUGGUAGUCUACUAAAGGCUUAGAACGUUUGCAUGGAAUGCAAGAGAUACGGGUUUAAUUCCCGAUCGAGGUA